rnacentral:rRNA from 1 species
GUAGGUGGCAAGCGUUGUCCGGAAUUAUUGGGCGUAAAGCGCGCGCAGGCGGGUUUUUUAAGUCUGAUGUGAAAGCCCACGGGCUCAACCGUGGAGGGUCAUUGGAAACUGGAGAACUUGAGUACAGAAGAGGAAAGCGGAAUUCCACGUGUAGCGGUGAAAUGCGUAGAGAUGUGGAGGAACACCAGUGGCGAAGGCGGCUUUCUGGUCUGUAACUGACGCUGAGGCGCGAAAGCGUGGGGAGCAAACAGGAUUAGAUACCCUGGUAGUCCACGCCGUAAACGAUGAGUGCUAAGUGUUAGGGGGGUUUCCGCCCCUUAGUGCUGCAGCUAACGCAUUAAGCACUCCGCCUGGGGAGUACGGCCGCAAAGGCUGA